rnacentral:rRNA from 1 species
UACAGAGGGGGCGAGCGUUGUUCGGAAUUACUGGGCGUAAAGGGCUCGUAGGCGGCCAACUAAGUCAGACGUGAAAUCCCCAGGCUCAACCUGGGAACUGCGUCUGAUACUGGAUGGCUUGAAUUCGGGAGAGGGAUGCAGAAUUCCAGGUGUAGUGGUGAAAUGCGUAGAUAUCUGGAGGAAUACCGGUGGCGAAGGCGGCAUCCUGGACCGACAUUGACGCUGAGGAGCGAAAGCUAGGGGAGCAAACGGG